AGAGACCCCGAUGUGUGGGAAAAUCCAUCAGAUUUUACCCCAGAAAGAUUUUUGACAGAAAAGAAUGCGAAAAUUGAUCCAAGGGGAAAUGAUUUUGAGUUGAUUCCAUUUGGGGCAGGAAGAAGAAUUUGUGCAGGGACAAGGAUGGGAAUCUUACUAGUGGAGUACAUAUUAGGCUCUUUAGUACACUCUUUCGAUUGGAAAUUGCCAUAUGGAGUUAAU
rnacentral:misc_RNA from 1 species